UUUCCAGACUCCUACGGGAGGCAGCAGUGAGGAAUAUUGGUCAAUGGUCGGGAGACUGAACCAGCCAAGCCGCGUGAGGGAUGAAGGUACAGAGUAUCGUAAACCUCUUUUGUCAGGGAACAAAGGCGGGGACGUGUCCCCGGAUGAGUGUACCUGAAGAAAAAGCAUCGGCUAUCUCCGUGCCAGCAGCCGCGGUAAUACGGAAGGUCCGGGCGUUAUCCGGAUUUAUUGGGUUUAAAGGGAGCGUAGGCCGGUCUUUAAGCGUGCCGUGAAAUUUUGUGGCUCAACCAUGAGAGUGCGGCGCGAACUGGAGACCUUGAGUGCGCGGAAGGCAGGCGGAAUUCGUGGUGUAGCGGUGAAAUGCUUAGAUAUCACGAAGAACCCCGAUUGCGAAGGCAGCCUGCCGCAGCGUUACUGACGCUGAAGCUCGAAAGCGUGGGUAUCGAACAGGAUUAGAUACCCCCGUAC
rnacentral:rRNA from 1 species